rnacentral:rRNA from 1 species
CCUCAAAUCAGGUGGGACUACCCGCUGAACUUAAGCAUAUCAAUAAGCGGAGGAAAAGAAACUAACAAGGAUUCCCCUAGUAACUGCGAGUGAAGCGGGAAAAGCUCAAAUUUUAAAUCUGACGGCCCUCCGGUCGCCCGAGUUGUAAACUAGAGAAGCACCAUCCGCGCUGGGCCAUGUACAAGUCUCCUGGAAUGGAGCAUCAUAGAGGGUGAGAAUCCCGUCCUUGACAUGGACCUUCCAGGGCAUUGUGAUGUGCUCUCAAAGAGUCGAGUUGUUUGGGAAUGCAGCUCCAAAUGGGUGGUAAAUUCCAUCUAAAGCUAAAUAUUGGCGAGAGACCGAUAGCGAACAAGUACCGUGAGGGAAAGAUGAAAAGAACUUUGGAAAGAGAGUUAAACAGUACGUGAAAUUGUUGAAAGGGAAACGCUUGAAGUCAGCCGCGUUGGUCUGGGAUCAGCCCCGCAGAUGCGAGGUGCAUUCCCUGAUCAACGGGCCAGCAUCAUUCGUGACCGGCGGAGAAAGUUCAAGGGAAUGUGGCAUCUUCGGAUGUGUUAUAGCCCUUGGUCACAUACAUCGGUU